rnacentral:misc_RNA from 1 species
GAUGAAGAACGCAGCGAAAUGCGAUAAGUAAUGUGAAUUGCAGAAUUCAGUGAAUCAUCGAGUCUUUGAACGCACAUUGCGCCCCCUGGUAUUCCGGGGGGCAUGCCUGUCCGAGCGUCAUUGCUGCCCUCAAGCACGGCUUGUGUGUUGGGCCGCCGUCCCCGGGUUCCCCCGGGGACGGGCCCGAAAGGCAGCGGCGGCACCGCGUCCGAUCCUCGAGCGUAUGGGGCUUUGUCACCCGCUCUGUAGGCCCGGCCGGCGCCAGCCGACACCCAACUUUAUUUCUAAGGUUGACCUCGGAUCAGGUAGGGAUACCCGCUGAACUUAAGCAUAUCAAUAAGCGGAGGA